CCGCGGUAAUACGUAGGGUGCAAGCGUUAAUCGGAAUUACUGGGCGUAAAGCGUGCGCAGGCGGUUUUGUAAGUCAGAUGUGAAAUCCCCGGGCUUAACCUGGGAAUGGCAUUUUGAACUGGCAGUCUAGAGUGCGUCAGAGGGGGGUGGAAUUCCACGUGUAGCAGUGAAAUGCGUAGAUAUGUGGAGGAACACCAAUGGCGAAGGCAGCCCCCUGGGAUGACACUGACGCUCAUGUACGAAAGCGUGGGUAGCAAACAGG
rnacentral:rRNA from 1 species